GAUGAAGCUGCUGUCACCACGCUUGUCCCUUUCUGUGUUGGAGUCUGGCUGAAGAAUCCAAUGAGCUGGGGUGUUUGAGGCUGUCUGCAGAGUAGCAUCCCAGAUGGUGGGUCUGGUGACUGGGCCUUUCAUCUGCUCAUCCCAUUGUCUGUUGUGUUUGUCUGCAUUUUCUUUUAACAUCUCAUGCCUUGAUUUUAUAUUGUUUUUGUGGAGAAACCAAGUCUGUGAGCGCCCUGUGCCAGAGCCUGUCCCUGUUCUCACCCCGGUGCGGCCUAGUCAUCAGUAGCACUCAAUUUGUUUGUAGAGGUGCAUUUGGUUAUUUCUACAGCUGAUGGAAAUUAGUUUCAUUGUUUUGUAUGCUUACUAUAUUUUAACUAAAUGUUAACCUUGGGGAAUCCUUUUGCCUCAGUCUGACUUCAGUCACCUGUUUAUCUGUGGUUGUUGGAUAAUUUAUGAGAAUGUUUAGCCCUGUGCUACCGGUGGUUACAAAUGUUUUUCUUCCAGUUGCUCAUCUUCUCAUGAUUUGAUCUACACACUAUGCAUCAGCUAAAACUAAUGCAUUCUAAUACAACAGCCCUCCAACUAUUUCUCCCUCCUUCUCUUAGAUCAGGGAAGUCGACAGCCCAUAUAGAAAUUGGCCAAUGCUACCCCUAGAGUGGAUUUACUCGCAUGAUGAACUUUACUUAUUGCUUGUGAUCUCCUCUCAGACUGCUAUGGCUGGUUCCACACCUGCAGAAUCAAGGUGAACAUUGGAAAACUAACACUUCCAAAUGCUUGCCAGAGUCACUAGAUAUCUUCACUGCAAGAUGAAGACAACCUUUAGGUUAAAGGGCAACAUCUGACUUCAUUUCAUGGAUCAAGAUUUUGGCAAUUGCUUAAAUUCUACCACUGCAUUUCAGGGACAAGUAGGAGGCCAAACAGGUUAGUUGAUGUCUAAAAUGUUUGACCUCCCUUUGUGGAAUGCCUGUGAGAAAUUGAGUAACUUAUCAGUUGCAGAUAAUUUCAUUUUUGUUCAAUAUUCUAUUGUCAUUUACUAAUUUGAGUUGGUUCAAUAUGCGAUGGGCAAGAAACCUGGUGGCGACCGUGGUGCCAUGAAUACAAAAAGGUAUGACUGACUUGAGUUAACCACACUACCACAGACACAGCUCAUAAAUCUAACAAAGCAUUUUUCAUAAUGUUUUAACUGUUUGAAUUGCUUGGUGAUUGUGAUGUUCUAUAGUGUAAGUGACAAUGUGUAAAAUGCACUGUAAAUACACAUUUCUGUGACCGUAAUUAAAACUCAUUUUAAAAUCA